rnacentral:rRNA from 1 species
AUUGAACGCUGGCGGCAGGCCUAACACAUGCAAGUCGAGCGAGCGGCGGACGGGUGAGUAAUGUCUGGGAAACUGCCUGAUGGAGGGGGAUAACUACUGGAAACGGUAGCUAAUACCGCAUACCCUCAGAUGUGCCCAGAUGGGAUUAGCUAGUAGGUGGGGUAAUGGCUCACAUAGGCAACGAUCCCUAGCCGGUCUGCGUGGCUGACCAGCCAGAUGGGAACUUGGACACGGUCCAGACUCCUACGGUAGGCAGCAGUGGGGUAUAUUGCCAAAUGGGCGAAAGCCUGGUGCAGCCCUGGCGGGUGUGUGAAGAAGGCCUUUGGGUUGUAAAGCACUUUCAGCUGGGAGGCGUUACCCGCAGAAGAAGCACCGGCUAACUCCGUGCCAGCAGCCGCGGUAAUAC